GCGUGGGUGGCCUGGCUCCUGGAGUAGGUGGCCUGGUUCCUGGCGUAGGUGGCCUGGUUCCUGGUGUUGGAGGUGUCCCAGGUGAGGAGGAGGAAGGCAAGGGUGAGAGCAGCCUGGCAGGUGUGGGGGCAGUUGUGGGGGCAGGACAGGCUUGAGGAGAACCUCAGCAGUGUCCCUGGGGGGCUGCAGACAGGGCCUGAAGGAUGGGCUCUGCCCAGGUUUGCUGUGAGGCCUUCCCAGGGUCUGACCCCCCUCUGCUGUCUCUGCCCAGGUGUUGGAGGUCCUGCAGCAGCAGCCAAAGCAGCAGCCAAGGCAGCCAAAUUUGGUGCCGGGGUUGGAGGGGUGCCAGGGGUGGUGCCUGGCGUGGGCGGAGUGCCCGGAGUGGCACCCGGUGUUGGUGGCGUGCCCGGCUUGGUGCCAGGGGUGGGAGUACCUGGAACUGGCAUCCUUCCCGGGGCAGGCAUCCCCCAAGUAGGGGUGCAGCCUGGUGCUAAACCUCCCAAAUUCGGUGUUCCUGGGGUUGGAGUCCCAGGGGUUGGUGGCCUCCCAGGUGGCCUUGGCGUCGGUGGGCUCGGAGUUGGUGGUCUCGGCGUUGGAGGUCCCGGCUUCGGCGUAUCACCGCUAUUUCCAGGUGGGGUCGGCGGCCUGGGAUUCGGCGGGAAACCCCCCAAGCCCUACGGAGGAGCUCUGGGUGCCCUGGGCUUUAGAGGCGCGGGCUGCGCGGCAGGGAAGUACUGCGGGAGGAAGCGGAAGUAACGCUCCGUCACCGAUCACCUCAUGAACUUUGGUGCUACUGCAUGGUCCAGAAUGUAAAUCCGAAGCAAAGCUGAGACACCCUCUCCUCCAGCCCCGGAGCCCCCCGUCCAUCCCGGGGCCGUUCCCCGGCAGCGCCCGGCCCCCCCCCGGCCCUCGGUCCCGGCAGGGAGCGCGGAAUAAACUGCGGGGAGCAGCCGUCCCCCUUGGUGCU
rnacentral:lncRNA from 1 species